rnacentral:rRNA from 1 species
UACGUAGGGGGGCUAGCGUUGUCCGGAAUCAUUGGGCGUAAAGAGCGUGUAGGCGGCCCGGUAAGUCCGCUGUGAAAGUCGGGGGGCUCAACCCUCGAAUGCCGGUGGAUACUGUCGGGCUAGAGUGCGGAAGAGGCGAGUGGAAUCCUGGUGUUAGCGGUGAAAUGCGCAGAUAUCAGGAGGAACACCAAUUGCGAAGGCAGCUCGCUGGGGACGUAAACUGACGCUGAGACGCGAAAAGCGUGGGGGGAGCGAUCCGG